UACGUAGGGUGCGAGCGUUGUCCGGAAUUACUGGGCGUAAAGAGCUCGUAGGUGGUUUGUCGCGUUGUUCGUGAAAUCUCACGGCUUAACUGUGAGCGUGCGGGCGAUACGGGCAGACUGGAGUACUGCAGGGGAGACUGGAAUUCCUGGUGUAGCGGUGGAAUGCGCAGAUAUCAGGAGGAACACCGGUGGCGAAGGCGGGUCUCUGGGCCGAUACUGACGCUGAGGAGCGAAAGCGUGGGGAGCGAACAAG
rnacentral:rRNA from 1 species